GGAAUGCCACUUUUAGGGGCUCAGCUGUUGCCCCAUUCCAGGAAAGGAUGCUCAGGGCCAGGGUGCCCGGCCAGGCGUGGCGAAUGGGUGAGACCUCCCCUGUGCCCUGGGCCAGGGCGCUGAGUGGGCUUGGCCCUCAGUUUGUGCCUGCAGAUGGGAACGCAGCCUGCGUGAAGGUGCUCCGGGACAUCGAGCCCGGGGACGAGGUGACAUGCUUCUACGGCGAGGGCUUCUUCGGUGAGAAGAAUGAGCACUGUGAAUGCCACACCUGUGAGAGGAAAGGUGAAGGAGCUUUCCGAACCAGGCCUAGGGAGCCUGCGUUGCCACCACGGCCCCUGGACAAGUACCAGCUACGUGAGACCAAGCGGCGGCUGCAGCAAGGCCUGGACAGCGGCAGCCGACAGGGCCUGCUGGGCCCUCGGGCCUGCGUGCACCCGUCCCCACUGCGCCGGGACCCAUUCUGCGCCGCCUGCCAGCCCCUGCGCCUGCCAGCCUGCAGCACCCGCCCAGACACCUCUCCCCUCUGGCUCCAGUGGCUGCCUCAGCCCCAGCCCCGAGUGCGGCCCCGGAAGCGCCGACGGCCCCGGCCCCGGAGGGCCCCAGUGCUCUCCACCCACCACGCUGCCCGCGUCUCCCUGCACCGAUGGGGAGGCUGUGGCCCCCACUGCCGCCUGCGAGGAGAGGCCCUGGUGGCCCUGGGCCAGCCUCCCCACGCCCGCUGGGUCC
rnacentral:sRNA from 1 species